rnacentral:rRNA from 1 species
ACGAACGCUGGCGGCAUGCCUAACACAUGCAAGUCGAACGCCCCGCAAGGGGAGUGGCGAACGGGUGAGUAACGCGUGGGAACCUGCCCAGCAGUUGGGGAUAACCGCGGGAAACUGCGGCUAAUACCGAAUACGUCCUUAGGGAGAAAGAUUUAUCGCUGUUGGAGGGGCCUGCGUCGGAUUAGCUAGUUGGCGGGGUAACGGCCCACCAAGGCAUCGAUCCGUAGCUGGUCUGAGAGGAUGAUCAGCCACACUGGGACUGAGACACGGCCCAGACUCCUACGGGAGGCAGCAGUGGGGAAUAUUGGACAAUGGGGGCAACCCUGAUCCAGCAAUGCCGCGUGAGUGAUGAAGGCCUUAGGGUUGUAAAGCUCUUUUACCGGGGACGAUGAUGACGGUACCCGUAGAAUAAGCCCCGGCUAACCUCGU